rnacentral:rRNA from 1 species
UACGUAGGGUCCGAGCGUUGUCCGGAAUUAUUGGGCGUAAAGCGCGCGCAGGCGGUUUCUUAAGUCUGAUGUGAAAGCCCACGGCUCAACCGUGGAGGGUCAUUGGAAACUGGGGAACUUGAGUGCAGAAGAGAAAAGCGGAAUUCCACGUGUAGCGGUGAAAUGCGUAGAGAUGUGGAGGAACACCAGUGGCGAAGGCGGCUUGCUGGGCCGACACUGACGCUGAGGCGCGAAAGCUAGGGGAGCGAACGGG